rnacentral:rRNA from 1 species
AAUAUUGGACAAUGGGCGCAAGCCUGAUCCAGCCAUGCCGCGUGAGUGAAGAAGGCCCUCGGGUUGUAAAGCUCUUUUGUUGGGAAAGAAAAGCAGCCGGUUAAUACCCGGUUGUUCUGACGGUACCCAAAGAAUAAGCACCGGCUAACUACGUGCCAGCAGCCGCGGUAAUACGUAGGGUGCGAGCGUUAAUCGGAAUUACUGGGCGUAAAGCGUGCGCAGGCGGUUCGUUAAGUUCGAUGUGAAAGCCCCGGGCUCAACCUGGGAACUGCAUUGGAAACUGGCGAGCUUGAAUGCGGCAGAGGGGGGUGGAAUUCCGCGUGUAGCAGUGAAAUGCGUAGAGAUGCGGAGGAACACCGAUGGCGAAGGCAGCCCCCUGGGCCGACAUUGACGCUCAGGCACGAAAGCGUGGGGAGCA